GUGCAGAAAAGUGUAGGGCAGUGUACUUCCUGGUAUGUGUAUUGAGAUACGACCAGAAGUACACUGCCCUACACUUUUCUGCACU
rnacentral:pre_miRNA from 1 species